rnacentral:lncRNA from 1 species
AUUGGUAAAUAAUGUGCCUCGUUAAAAUUUUACUAAGAUAAAAACUCAGUGAGACAAAACAUCGGUUAAAGGAAAAAGAGUAACGCAUAUUUAUUUUCCUUAUGACAAUAUUACAUAAUAUCUCAUAUUCUGCGCAUUCAAUCUUAAAUACCAGAAUAAUUUUGGGAAACAAAUUUUAAUCUCUACAGAAGUCUCAACCAUAAUCUUAGCAAACAUUGAUCAUGAUUGUAGCAGGCCAAAUUUGCCUAAGCUCAAAUUAGACAACCAAAAACCAAAAACAAAAAAUAAUAAAACAAAUAAAAGUCCAAAUUACUAGGUCCAAACGGCCUAAAAAUAAAAAUAAAACCCCUAAAAGGCCCAAAACCUUAAAACCCUAGUGUCGCCCUUAGUCCCUGGCCUUUGUCACCACCACUCCUCCACUGCCCAACCGCUACCUACAAAAUCAACGGUAGAAAAGACUGUAAACAAUACCAAAAAUAUGAAAUAUUGUAUUGAAAUCAGCUAUAAAGCCACAGAAAACUCUAUGUAUUUUUUUUUGGAUAGUUAUUUUGAAUAUAAUAGUAGAGAGAAACACACAAAGAAAUCAAAACAACAUAUUGAAAGUAAACUUUUUUAGUUCUCUAAGGUAUAUUUUCAUAUUGCACAUUUGUUUUCAAUAUAGCAAAUAUAUAUUCAUAUAUUUUCGAAAUAAGAAAAUUUUACCUUUGUUGCAAUCGGAGAAAGCGAAAUCGAGGGGUUUCCUUUGAUUUUUUGGCCUUUUGGGCGUUUUCGUCUCAAACCAGGGACGAGGGAGGAAAAAUGGUCAAAAUGGCCUUUUUCGGUGAACUCCGACCACUGUGGACGACGGUCGCGGUCGCCAUCGCUGACAGUUGGUGGCCGCGAUGGAGCUACGGCGGCGCUCGAUGGUCGGCUUGGGAAUUUUUGAGAGAGAAGAGGUUUUUUUUUUUUUGGAAUGAGGUUGGAAUGAA